UUCUGUUUUCUAAAAAUUAUCUGGACCCUCCCCAUGACAAAUUCCUAAAUACGCCACUGGUUGAGUGUACAUUGUGUGUAAUGUGUAGGGCUGGGUUUUUAAUGCCCUAGAAAAACCCGAAAAAUUUCCUAAAAAAAAUGCUUUUAUGACCUAAAAACUCUAAAUAAUGUCCUAAAAAAACCCGAAAAAUGCUCUAAAAAAAAAAACGCUUUUAUGAUCUAAACAUUUUUUGUUUUUAAUAAUUUUAGUAUAAAUUUCAAUAAAAAGUUUUAAAAAAUGCACUAUAAAAAUCUAUUACAUGCGUAAACAGAAUAACACUAAUCCGUCGGUAUAAAAAAUAUUAUGUCCAAAUUCUUGUACAAACGCACGCAGUCGACUCGCUGUCGAACAUUUUACUUUUGGCAUUUUUAUAUUAAAUUGUUAAAAAAAAUUAACUAGAGUAAUAAAACGGUGUUAACGACGACAAAACUCGUACUGAACGUCGAACGAUAUCAUCGGACGUCAAUUUUACCGAUUUAAGAUUAUUUAACAGGAAAUGCGUGUAGAGGUUACUCAAACCUUGUCCGAUAAUGGCGAUAAGCCGAUAAUAUAAUACGAAUUACGAGUACCUACUUAUUAAUCUAGCAUUAAAAUCCCAGCCCUAGUUAAUUUAUUUAAAAGCCAUGCUGGUGUAAAAAUCUUAAAAGAAAAUUUCAAAUUCAUACACUUGGUUUCCAAAAACUCAAAUAAUGCUCCAAAAACUCUAAAAUGCCCUAAAAAUUAAGAAAAUGACCUAAAAACUAAAAAAUGCAAAAAAAUGCAAAAUAAACUUUCUUAUUCUCAUUCAAAUGUACAUUAAACAAAUUUGUGACAAGACGAGCAUUGCACAGUAAGCUUUGGAAAACAAUGCAAAGUGCAUCGAAAUCCCAGCCCUAGUAAUGUGUAUCCCUCUACAUCGUGUUUUAUUGUUAUCACUUAUCAUUAAGUCAGUGGGCGGCGGGUGUACAAGUGACGUUUAGUACUAGCAAUUGAUAGCCGAUGCCAUCGGUGAAAAAGCGUCGCUCGACGCUCACUGAUAAUGAAAUAAAGCUAACCUAUAAACACGUAUCUCGGUGAACUAGCUGCAGCCGAACAGCAGCUCCGUCUAGCGUACGCGAUUCGUUUUCGUCAUUCCGCAUUAUUGGCGUCUGCACCUACCUUCUGCGCGUCUUGUCGGUAAGAUUUAUUAUAAUAACAAUAUGUUAACAUUGUCAUUUUUAUUAUUCUCUACCAUUUCACUUGUUCGCAAGUCACACGAUAUUCGUUUUUACGUUACACUCGUUUCUCAACGUACAACGAAUGAUUGAAAACCCGGUGGCCGUCGGGCUAAUUACUCAACCGUAGGUACAUGAUAUCGAUUAGUCGCCGUCUACCGCUACACGUCAGUCGUUUGGUUUCCCCAUCUCCGAUCAAGUCUCAACACUGUCGUCAGAACACUCCAUCAACCUCUUAACGAUCAAGAUUUUCAAGGGAGAAAUUACAGAUACAUAUCUGAUCAAUUUUGAGUGUUCAAUAAGUGACAUAAUAUACAGUAUUCCAGUGCAAGGGCGGAUCUAGGAGGAUUUUUUAUGGUGGGUGCUAGUUUGCGUUUAAUGGUCCUAAGAUACUUAUUAUAGUUAUUAUACCUAGAAAAAAAAAAUAAUAGUUUUAAGCUUAAACGGCUAAGAAAAUUAGUCU
rnacentral:misc_RNA from 1 species